UAAACGCGGGGGAGGGUCAUUGGAAAUGGCAAGACUUGAGUGCAGAAGAGGGAGAGGGGGAAUUCCAAGUGUAGCGGUGAAAAUGCGUAGAGAUAUGGGAGGAACACCAGUGGCGAAAGGCGACUUUCUGGUCAGGAACUGACGCUGAGGCGCGAAAAGCGUGGGGAGCAAACAGGAUUAGAUUCCCUGGUAGUCCACGCCGUAAACGAUGAGUGCUAAGUGUUAGAGGGUUUCCGCCCUUUAGUGCGGAAGUUAACGCAUUAAGCACUCCCCCUGGGGAGUACGGCCCCAAGGCUGAAACUCAAAGGAAUUGCCGGGGGCCCGCCCAAGCGGUGGAGCAUGUGGUUUUAAUUCGAAGCAACGCGAAGAACCUUACCAGGUCUUGACAUCCUCUGAAAACCCUAGAGAUAGGGCUUCUCCUUCGGGAGCAGAGUGACAGGUGGUGCAUGGUUGUCGUCAGCUCGUGUCGUGAGAUGUUGGGUUAAGUCCCGCAACGAGCGCAACCCUUGAUCUUAGUUGCCAUCAUUAAGUUGGGCACUUUAAGGUGACUGCCGGUGACAAACCGGAGGAAGGUGGGGAUGACGUCAAAUCAUCAUGCCCCUUAUGACCUGGGCUACACACGUGCUACAAUGGACGGUACAAAGAGCUGCAAGACCGCGAGGUGGAGCUAAUCUCAUAAAACCGUUCUCAGUUCGGAUUGUAGGCUGCAACUCGCCUACAUGAAGCUGGAAUCGCUAGUAAUCGCGGAUCAGCAUGCCGCGGUGAAUACGUUCCCGGGCCUUGUACACACCGCCCGUCACACCACGAGAGUUUGUAACACCCGAAGUCGGUGGGGUAACCUUUUGGAACCACCGCCUAAGGGCA
rnacentral:rRNA from 2 species